UAUAACAAGGAUGCUCUUUCUCUUUUUCCUUUCUUUUUUUCCUUUUUUUCUUUUUUUUGGUUAUUCAAUUUAGAGGAGAGGAAGAAAAUGUUAAUUGAAAAAAGUCACAAUAUUAUUUUCACCUAAAAGUCAGGUAAUGGCAUUGAAGAAUACUCAUAAAACUGUCAUGACUGCAGUAAUAACUAUUAUUAUGAUCAAAUUUAAUAAAAAAAACCCUGCCUGCAAUAUGGGAAUUAUGAAUAAUUCAUGAAAAUUGUUGCUUAAAAUGUGAUAGAGAGGAAAAGACUUGUAGAAAAAUACUUAAUGUAUCCAGACAGCGAUGAUAAUUGGUUUUUGCAACUAAAUGAAUACUUCAUGUACAAGCCAGCACUAACAAGGCAAGAGGAGAAGUCUACACAUUGGGGAAACAAUUUCACUUAUCUGGUUACAGCAAGUAACUAUCUUUAACACAUUUCAUCUGAUGUACUAUUGGCAGUGAAGGAAAGAAAACCAGAAUAUUUGAUGCAAUAAGAUUUGAUCUUUCUACUAAAUUGUACUUGCCAGUAGUCAGCUGGGCAACUUUUAUUAAUCCCUUCCAAUAUGCUUACAUACUGGUUAGCAUGGCACUAAGUGAAGAAAAAUAAAUCUGAAUGUUCACUAA
rnacentral:lncRNA from 1 species